rnacentral:tRNA from 1 species
GCCUUCGUAGCGUAGUGGUCAGCACGCUGGGCUCGUAUUCGAGAGAUCCGUAGUUCGAGUCCUGGCGAAGGCG